AGCCUCCCCGUCGGCGAGUUGAGAAGGGCGGAGAGGGGAUGUGAAACUGCAUACUGGAGUAGCCAUGUUAGCUAUUAUUGCGUUUUAUUUUACUAAGAAAUAUCCUUACUGUGGAUCUGAAGUAGCGUCAGUUUCGUCCCUCUGCUUUGUGCGGCUCAACGAGUUUUGUAUUCCAAAACUGCUGCUCGCCAUGUGUGGGGUCACUGUGUUUUCUUUGAUCUAUUAACAGAUUGCACUGUUUUCUUUUUGUUUAUCUGAAUGGUUUUAGUUAAAGUGACGGUUUAGAUGUGAAACGGAAGUCUUGAGAUCGACUAAAAUAAGAAACAGCAACUUUCGCGCCGACUUGCAGAGAAAAAGAGAGGUACAGAGGAGAGAGGUACUGAUAUGAAGGUGGUGCAUCUUGGUAGAAGGCAAGGACUAGAUAUGGCAUAUUCUCAUAUUAAAGAAGAGCUUCCUGAACUGGAACCUGUCCAUAUUAAAGAGGAGGCCCCUGGACUGGAACCUGUCCAUGUUAAAGAGGAGGCCCCUGGACUGGAACAUGUCCAUGUUAAAGAGGAGGCCCCUGGACUGGAACAUGUCCAUGUUAAAGAGGAGGCCCCUGUGCUGGAACCUGUCCAUGUUAAAGAGGAGGCCCCUGUGCUGGAACCUGUCCAUGUUAAAGAGGAGGCCCCUGGACUGGAACAUGUCCAUGUUAAAGAGGAGGCCCCUGGACUGGAACAUGUCCAUGUUAAAGAGGAGGCCCCUGGACUGGAACAUGUCCAUGUUAAAGAGGAGGCCUCUGUGCUGGAACCUGUCCAUGUUAAAGAGGAGGCCCCUGGACUGGAACAUGUCCAUGUUAAAGAGGAGGCCCCUGGACUGGAACAUGUCCAUGUUAAAGAGGAGGCCCCUGGACUGGAACAUGUCCAUGUUAAAGAGGAGGCCCCUGUGCUGGAACAUGUCCAUGUUAAAGAGGAGGCCCAUGUGCUGGAACAUGUCCAUGUUAAAGAGGAGGCCCCUGGAGUGGAAGCUGUCCAUGUUAAAGAGGAGGCCCCUGGACUGGAACAUGUCCAUGUUAAAGAGGAGGCCCCUGGACUGGAACAUGUCCAUGUUAAAGAGGAGAGUCCUGUGCUGGAACAUGUCCAUGUUAAAGAGGAGGCCCCUGGACUGGAACAUGUCCAUGUUAAAGAGGAGAGUCCUGUGCUGGAACAUGUCCAUGUUAAAGAGGAGGCCCCUGGACUGGAACAUGUCCAUGUUAAAGAGGGGGCCCCUGGACUGGAACAUGUCCACGUUAAACAAGAGGUAGCCAAGCCUGAUGAUUUAUUACAUAGAGAGUCCUCUCAAGCCAUGUAUGCUAAUGGAGAGGAGGGGACUGAGCUGGGUUCCAUUCAGAGGAACCAUCACAUCUCCCAGCUGGAGGCUAUCCAAAUAAAUCCUGCAUCACAACAUGCACCAAGGUCACCUUCACCCUGUGGGACAACAAUGUUAGAAAAAGAACAUGAAUGUGGAAAGAGCUUCACUCAUUUAGGAAACUUCAAACACCAGCAACUUCACACAGGAGAGAAACCACACCAAUGUAUACAUUGUGGGAAAAGUUUUGGUUAUUUAGGAAGCUUCAAAAAACACCAGCAAAUCCACACGGGAGAGAGCUCACAACAGUGUAAUCAAUGCGGGAAGAGCUUCUCUCGGUUAGGAAACCUUAAGCAACACCAGCAAACUCACACAGGAGAGAAACCACACCACUGUAUACUUUGUGGGAAGAGUUACGGUCAUUUACCAACCUUUAAAAGACAUCAGAGAAUCCACACAGGCGAGAAACCACACCAGUGUAAUGAAUGUGGAAAGAGCUUCUCUUGGUUAGAACACUUUAAGCAACACCAGCGAACUCACACAGGAGAGAAACCACACCACUGUGUACUUUGUGGGAAAAGUUUUGCUCAGUUAACAACCUUUAAAAGACACCAGCAAAUUCACACAGGAGAGAAACCACACCAGUGUAACGAAUGUGGGAAGAGCUUCGCUCGUUUAGGAAGCCUUAAAAAACACCAGCCAGUUCACACAGGAAAUAAACCACACCAGUGUAAUGAAUGUGGAAAGAGCUUCUCUUGGUUAGGACACUUUAAGCAACACCAGCGAACUCACACAGGAGAGAAACCACACCACUGUGUACUUUGUGGGAAAAGUUUUGCUCAGUUAACAACUUUUAAAAGACACCAGCAAAUCCACACAGGAGAGAAACCACACCAGUGUAACGAAUGUGGUAAGAGCUUCGCUCGUUUAGGAAGCCUUAAAAAACACCAGCGAGUUCACACAGGAGAAAAACCACACCAGUGUAGUGAAUGUGAGAAGAGCUUUGCUGAAUUAGGAAACUUUAAAAAACACCAGCAAGUUCACACAGGAGAGAAACCUCACCACUGUAUAAAUUGUGGGAAGAGCUUUACUCGGUUAGGAAGCCUUAAAAGACACCAGCGAAUUCACACAGCGGUGAAACCAUAACCAUUGUGCUGAAUGUAGGGGAAAGGUUUGAUUUGGUGGGACACCUUAAACCACCAGAAAACUCAUGUAAGACAGAAACCCUGUAACUGAAGAGAUGAACUUCAAUUGAUAUGAAAACACAUAUCAAUUAUAUUGGUUAUUACACACACACAGUACCUUGGAAAUGUUAUUUAAAUACGGUAUGCUGGAAUAAUUCAGUAUUGUUUAACUGCAUUUAAAACAUGUAACACAGCAGCUUGCAAGAUAUUGGAUUUCAAAGUCCUUUGUAUGAUUUUACAAUUUAAAAGUGCAAAUGAAGAUUAAAAUCACAAACAUAAAUUUAUUAUAUUAAUAUGAUUGUAUAACCAAUUAAUUUAGGAGGUAUACGACCUACAAGAAAAGUCUAAUAAAUCCAUAAGAACUGAAGGUCUCCCAACUAGUAUAGAUUACAAAAAAAAAAACAAUAGUCAUAAUAUGUGUUGUACAAAAAGAAAAAAAAUGACUUGGAGUUGUUCAUUGAAGUGAACAUGUUUUUGUGAAACAGUACCAGGCCAUAAAACUCACAAGAGCUGCUGCAUUCCUGCAGGUUCAUACACAUUCGUGUCGCUGGCACUGAAACUGUGGAAUUAGCUGCCACCAUCUGCAGGAGGUACCAGACAUAAGACCAGCAAAAGAACAGGAGAUAUUUGACACAUUAUUAUUACUAUUAUUAUUAUUAUUUAUUUCUUAGCAGACGCCCUUAUCCAGGGCGACUUACAAUUGUUACAAGAUAUCACAUUAUUUCACAUUAUACAGAUAUCACAUUAUUUUUACAUACAAUUCCCCAUUUAUACAGUUGGGUUUUUACUGGAGCAAUCUAGGUAAAGUACCUUGCUCAAGGGUACAACAGCAGUGUCCCCUACUGGGGAUUGAACCCACAACCCUCUAGUCAAGAGUCCAGAGUCCUAACCGCUACUCCACACUGCUGCCCCACAUAAAUUAAAUAUUACACUUCAUGAAAAGUCAUAAGACUGGAUUCUGGAAUGGAAAUGGAAACAGUCAUUUUUAUAGUAAAUACUAGCCAGCCUGUGUUUUUACUUCCUUUCCCAUUGGAAAGGCUGUGCAUUUGAGACCACAUAGUUCUCAUGAGAGUGUGCUAGCGACAGUACAGUAGGAGUCUCUGAUAGUAUGUGGUAGAUACAAAGUGAACGCUAUGAAUGAAACACAAUCGACAGCCAUGGAAACGAGUUCAGCAUCACCCUAUAGAAUAACUCACUGUGCUUCAUAAAGUCGAAUGAAACCUGCUGAACAAUGUUAAGUUAACAUAUUCAAUUACAUAGCGCUUUGUAGUUUUCCAUAGUACUUGUAGAAGAACUGACACAAAUCUAAAUGUGACAUUUCUAAAUCUUACAUGAUAUGCCAUUAUGGUUUCCGGUAGACUUUCUGUAUCAUUUUGUAGUUUCUUUGAUUACAUGAUGUUAAAUAAAAGAUCUAACAAAAAGUGCGUGCAUCAACUGAGAAACAGGAUCAUAUUUUAUAAAAGGGAUACACACCUAAAAACAAACUUAACACACAAAAACAUAACAAACAGGAAAAUCAGCUUAAAUAAUCCAGAUUUCCUUCCAUUCAGAAUGUGCUUUGCCUGGUCAGGCUUGCUUCUGUUCAAAAUAAAAACAGCAGGUGGUACAUUUUAUGGUCCCACAUUAUGUGGUACUCGCCACAAUGUGCCUCUUGAUUUUUCAGACUCCUUUGUUGUUUCAUCGCAAUCCUUUUGUAGCUGUUCACGCAUGCGGUUGUCAAGAGAUCGAUCCAUUGGCAAAACUGGAGUUGCUUUUCCCUGGCUUUCCAGCUCUGACAUCAUAUUUUUGAAAUUCUUCAGUUCGUGCUGCUGCAGUUGUGAGGAGAGCAGUUUUGAUUUUUGUUUAAAAGCUGUCACAGAAGUAAUCAUUUCAACAAUGUUGUCUCGUUUCCUUGCAGCUCUAAAUUGAGUUUGUUCAGCUGAGCAGCAACUUCAGUCAAAAAAUCCAAAUCUAACAGCCACGCUUCAUCUUCCAGCUGCUUGUAUUAAGCAUCUCGAGGCCAGAAACUCCUUGAUUUCAGUUAAUAGACCCCUAAAUCUCUGCAGAAAUGUUCCUCUACUAAGCCAACUUACAUCCAUGUGUAGCAAGAGCUCUGCGUGUUCAGCUUCACUUUCUUCCAGUUGAGACCUGAAAGGCGUCCCUGCAGACAGUGAAAGAAAGGGUAUUGUUCAUUUCCAGACCCUUGCCAGAGCACACUACUGCAUUACACUGUAACAAAGCAUUUAUGUUUUUGGCAAGUUGAUAAAAUACAAGUGUUUUCAUUUUAUUAUAUUAUACCUUUUAGGAGGUCUUUUUUCAACAGGAGUAUUUUUUUUUAAUAAAUUAUGUUACCUUAGGUACCCUAGGGUAAACUAAAGGGAUUUCUUCACAAUUCAACUUUAAUUAUGGAACCUGUAGUUAUUAUACUGUGGAGGUGGAAUUUAUAUUUUCCGAAUAUUUGUGUAUCUAACAUUUAAUGCUUAAUCAGCAGGGAGCAUUUGCGUGCAUAAUCUGCUUAGCUACAGUAAUUUUGUAUCAAAAUAACUAUAAAGUUUAUAUUUGAAGUUUUAUAUGUUUAUGCUAAGCUGAAGCAAAUUUCAGAAGGAACACUUUGUGGCUUUCUUUACAGAAGUAAACCAGACACCUCCAUCCUGUCACAAACUCAUGAGAUGUCUGGGCAGACAGUCAAAAGUGACAGGUGUCUAGUUUAGAUACAAAGAGAGAUGGAAAAUAAGUUUGUAUGUGCGGGUAACGUGUGAGCUAACAGGGUGAGCACCUCAACGUGACUGGAUAUUGAACUAGAAGAUGGGAGGGAAUCACCCAUGAGGUUUGUGUAUAGAUAUGUGUGUUUUUAUUAAUUAAGUAUUUGCUUAUAAGUUUUCAUUUUAUUCCAUAUAUAGAAUAUUGCUUCGGCUUAGGACUCAGGGUGCAGUUCCGCUUAAAUGUGUCUAUAAGAUAUGUUUCUACUUCUGUAAAAUCAUGGCAUGCCAUGACAGCGAGUGAGGAAAUAAGUCUCGGAAAAACAACCCCUUAUAUGGAAACCUCCUGAAACCGUCUAUAUGACGUAAGUGACUGUAUAACUGUGUGCUGAAAGGCUGCAUCAUUAAGUCAGACUUGUGUUUUGAACGCAUUUGCUGGCUUCCUUUGCACAUCGUAUUAAAG